rnacentral:rRNA from 1 species
UUUGGAAUAUUGCACAAUGGGGGAAACCCUGAUGCAGCGACGCCGCGUGGAGGAUGAAGGAUCUAGGUCUGUAAACUCCUUUUAUCGGGAAAGACUUAGGACGGUACCCGAUGAAUAAGCUCCGGCUAACUACGUGCCAGCAGCCGCGGUAAGACGUAGGGAGCGAGCGUUGUCCGGAUUUACUGGGCGUAAAGGGCGCGUAGGCGGUCUGUUAAGUGUGAAGUGAAAUCUCCAGGGCUCAACCCGGAAACUGCUUCGCAUACUGGCAGACUUGAGGAAUGCAGAGGUAAGUGGAAUUCCUGGUGUAGCGGUGAAAUGCAUUGAUAUCAGGAGGAACACCAAUGGCGAAGGCAGCUUACUGGGCAUUAUCUGACGCUGAGGCGCGAAAGCGUGGGUAGCAAACAGG